GACGAACGCUGGCGGCGUGCUUAACACAUGCAAGUCGAACGAUGAAGCCGGAGCUUGCUCCGGUGAAUUAGUGGCGAACGGGUGAGUAACACGUGAGUAACCUGCCCUUGACUCUGGGAUAACUGCGGGAAACUGUAGCUAAUACCGGAUACGACCCUCGGAGGCAUCUCCUGGGGGUGGAAAGAAUUUCGGUCAAGGAUGGACUCGCGGCCUAUCAGCUAGUUGGUGAGGUAACGGCUCACCAAGGCGACGACGGGUAGCCGGCCUGAGAGGGUGACCGGCCACACUGGGACUGAGACACGGCCCAGACUCCUACGGGAGGCAGCAGUGGGAAAUAUUGCACAAUGGGCGCAAGCCUGAUGCAGCAACGCCGCGUGAGGGAUGACGGCCUUCGGGUUGUAAACCUCUUUUAGCAGGGAAGAAGCGAAAGUGACGGUACCUGCAGAAAAAGCACCGGCUAACUACGUGCCAGCAGCCGCCGCCG
rnacentral:rRNA from 1 species